rnacentral:rRNA from 1 species
UACGGGGGGGGCAAGCGUUGUUCGGAAUUACUGGGCGUAAAGGGCGCGUAGGCGGUUGGAUAAGUCAGCUGUGAAAACCACGGGCUUAACUCGUGGCCUGCAGUUGAGACUGUCUGGCUUGAGUGUGGGAGAGGAGAGUGGAAUUCCUGGUGUAGCGGUGAAAUGCGUAGAUAUCAGGAGGAACACCGGUGGCGAAGGCGGCAUCCUGGACCGACACUGACGCUGAGGAGCGAAAGCCAGGGGAGCAAACGGG